AUAGAAACACCGGAUCUCAUACAAUCACCGUAGUUAAGCAACUUCGAACCUGGUCAGUACCUAGAUGGGUGACUGAUUGGUAAUACCAGGUGCUGUAA